AAUGUACUCCCUCCGUCCCAAAAUUCUUUUGUUAUAUUUGUCUACACACGGAUGUAUCUACUCACGUUUUAGUGUUAGAUACAUCCGUAUCUAGAUAAAUCUAAGACAAGAAUUUUGAGACGGACGGAGUAGUAA
rfam:Triticum aestivum genome assembly, contig: Triticum_aestivum_CS42_TGACv1_scaffold_061207_1DL